rnacentral:lncRNA from 1 species
CCACCCUUCAUCUUUCACUAGCAUCCUCACGCUCCACCUGAAAAGGAUGAAAAUUAAUGUAGUAAUAUCAGUACGGAACCUAAACACAAUUCAAGGCAUCUUUCUCAUAUACUCAUGCAUUUCUAAACUACAAAGAUGUCAAACAAGAAAAUUACUCUACAGAAUGCAUGUAGAUUUACAAAAAGGUUUUUUUUUCAACACACCUUUGGUAAUAUGAUGGGAAAGAGAGAGCAAAAAUGUUUAAUCGACACCACAGAUCACACAGACCUAGGUAUUCUUCCUCUUUUCAAAGUUACUACUAGAAGUAAGGAAGGAACUUGUUACUAAAUAGGGUAAUAAUGAUAUUGUACAAUUAUUUCACCUAUGUAAUUGACUCUGUUGUGUAGUUGAAACACAGACUCAAUCUAAUGUUGUAUCUCAAUUUCUCAUAAUUCAACAAAACUAAUUGGUGUUUGCUAUUCUUCAAAAGCAAGAAUAUAAACAGCUAAAUUAACAGCUAAAUAUUUGGCAUAAUUAUGUUAUAACUUUCAAACAAAGAACCUAAACCGAGUAACAAUACACUAAAAGCUACUUAAAGAAGUGGCAAAGUUGUCGUUCAUAGAAAUAAAUUCACAGUACAAAAUCCAACAGCAUUUAAAAGAACAGGCCAAUUUUAAUAAAUAUAUUACCUUCAAGUUUACCAUGACAUUCAUCAGAUUCUACUUCUGAUUCCUGUUCAUUUCAAAAACAAAUUAAGAAAUUAAAGAUACGCAAAACAUUAACAAAUUAAAAUAACACAAUUGGCAGAAGAGAGAAAUGGAUUAGAAAAUACAAACCUCUUCAUCAUCAUCGUCAUCGUCAUCAGAGAUAUGACCAUAAAAUAACACGUCCGUAGGGAAUUUGAAUCUACCUCUAGGUGAAGCUCCUGUUCUCAGGCAUUCAUGAAGCUCCCUUUGACAAAACUAAACAAUAUUGAAAAACAAAAAUCAGGAAAAGCCAAGACAACAUAGAAUUUAGCACCCAUAACAUAAGGAUUUAACUAUAUAACCAUUUCUUUCAAAAUUAUUCUUUUUCUCCUCUCUUCUAUUGGAGCUUCCAUCCUUGGAGCUGCUGUUAUUCUCUCCCUGCAAAACAGCAACCACAAUAACCAACAUGAUAAAUCAGGCUACUGCUAUAGAAACUGCUACGAACUUUCACAAAAUACGACAGCUUUAAAUAUAGAUUCAGGAGACGAAAUUGUAUAAUAAUGCAAAUUUAAAAUUGUAUCCAAAAGGCUGUACCAAAAAAGGAAUAAAACAUAGACAAUAUGCAGAAAUUGGAUGAAGGAAUUCCAAAUAUCAUAACCAAUAUUGACUGGGAAAAACAUGCAAGCUUACAUAACAAACAAAAUGUGAGAUUGUAACAGAUUCUACAGCAAAAACAACCACAUAUUCAAAUACUUCGUAAACGUAAGAAUAACAAUGAUCUGAAGAAUACCGAUAAGGACACAACAUUGAAAUAAAAUCCAAUUCAAAUUCUGGACUAGACACGGGAAGUCGGGAACAUAUACAGAAACUAAAUAAGGUCAAGUUGCAGGGGUGGGGGAAUAAGAUAAAUCAGAUACUGCUUAACCAGUUAAAACAAAAUGCAAAGGAAAUUCAAUUUCAAACCUUAUCUUACGUAUCCGCCUUUGGACCAAUUUGGUCAAACGCUUAUUCUUGC